rnacentral:rRNA from 1 species
UCAGGACGAACGCUGGCGGCGUGCUUGAUACAUGCAAGUCAAGGAGAAUUUUAUUUUCGGAUAAAUAGUAAACUGGCGAACGGGUGAGUAACGCGUAAAUAACUUGCCUCAGAGAUUGGGACAACAUUGGGAAACCAGUGCUAAUACCAAAUAAUGCAGCGGGCCCUUCGGGGUAUUUGUUGUUAAAGUGGGCUUCGGCUCACGCUUUGAGAUAGGUUUGCGUCCGAUUAGUUAGUUGGUAGGGUAAUUGCCUACCAAGGCGAAGAUCGGUAGCUGGUCUGAGAGGAUGAUCAGCCACACUGGAAUUGAGAUACGGUCCAGACUCCUACGGGAGGCAGCAGUAAGGAAUUUUGCACAAUGGGCGAAAGCCUGAUGCAGCAACGCCGCGUGAUUGAUGAAGUUUUUAGGAAUGUAAAAAUCUGUCGUAAGGGAAGAAAUGUUUCAGAUAUUAAUACUAUCUGUUAUUGACGGUACCUUACAAGAAAGCACCGGCUAACUUCGUGCCAGCAGCCGCGGUAAUACGAGGGGUGCUAGCGUUGUCCGGAUUUACUGGGCGUAAAGGGUACGUAGGCGUUUUAACAAGUUAUGUGUUAAAUACUUUAGCUUAACUAAAGAACUGCACAUAAAACUGUUAGAAUAGAGUUUGAGAGAGGAACGCAGAAUUCAUGGUGGAGCGGUGACAUGCGUAGAUAUCAUGAGGAAAGUCAAAUGCGAAGGCAGCCUUCUGGCUCAAAACUGACGCUGAGGUACGAAAGCGUGGGGAGCGAACAGGAUUAGAUACCCUGGUAGUCCACGCCGUAAACGAUGAGUACUUGGUGCUGGAAGAUUCGACCCUUUCAGUGCCGUAGCUAACGCGAUAAGUACUCCGCCUGGGGACUACGAUCGCAAGAUUGAAACUCNAG